rnacentral:rRNA from 1 species
UACGUAGGGAGCAAGCGUUGUCCGGAAUUAUUGGGCGUAAAGGGCGCGUAGGCGGCUUUUCAAGUGACGGGUGAAAUCCCUCGGCUUAACCGAGGAACUGCCUGUCAGACUGGAAGGCUUGAGACCGGGAGAGGUGAGUGGAAUUCCCAGUGUAGCGGUGAAAUGCGUAGAUAUUGGGAGGAACACCAGUGGCGAAGGCGGCUUCCUGGACCGACACUGACGCUGAGGCGCGAAAGCCAGGGGAGCAAACGGG